GAUGAACGCUGGCGGCGUGCCUAAUACAUGCAAGUCGAGCGAACGGACGAGAAGCUUGCUUCUCUGAUGUUAGCGGCGGACGGGUGAGUAACACGUGGAUAACCUACCUAUAAGACUGGGAUAACUUCGGGAAACCGGAGCUAAUACCGGAUAAUAUUUUGAACCGCAUGGUUCAAAAGUGAAAGACGGUCUUGCUGUCACUUAUAGAUGGAUCCGCGCUGCAUUAGCUAGUUGGUAAGGUAACGGCUUACCAAGGCAACGAUGCAUAGCCGACCUGAGAGGGUGAUAGGCCACACUGGACCGGAGACACGGUCCAGACUCCAACGGGAGGCAGCAGUAGGGAAUCUUCCGCAAUGGGCGAAAGCCUGGCGGAGCAACGCCGCGUGAGUGAUGAAGGUCUUCGGAUCGUAAAACUCUGUUAUUAGGGAAGAACAUAUGUGUAAGUAACUGUGCACAUCUUGACGGUACCUAAGCAGAAAGCCACGGCUAACUACGU
rnacentral:rRNA from 1 species